AACGAACGCUGGCGGCAGGCCUAACACAUGCAAGUCGAGCGCCCUUUCGGGGGAGCGGCGGACGGGUGAGUAACGCGUGGGAAUAUGCCCUUCUCUACGGAAUAGCCUCGGGAAACUGAGAGUAAUACCGUAUACGCCCUGUGGGGGAAAGAUUUAUCGGGGAAGGAUUAGCCCGCGUUGGAUUAGGUAGUUGGUGGGGUAAUGGCCUACCAAGCCGACGAUCCAUAGCUGGUUUGAGAGGAUGAUCAGCCACACUGGGACUGAGACACGGCCCAGACUCCUACGGGAGGCAGCAGUGGGGAAUCUUAGACAAUGGGGGCAACCCUGAUCUAGCCAUGCCGCGUGAGUGAUGAAGGCCUUUGGGUUGUAAAGCUCUUUCAGCUGGGAAGAUAAUGACGGUACCAGCAGAAGAAGCCCCGGCUAACUCCGUG
rnacentral:rRNA from 1 species